UGGGGAAUUUUGGACAAUGGGCGAAAGCCUGAUCCAGCAAUGCCGCGUGUGUGAAGAAGGCCUUCGGGUUGUAAAGCACUUUUGUCCGGAAAGAAAUCCUUGGCUCUAAUACAGUCGGGGGAUGACGGUGCCGGAAGAAUAAGCACCGGCUAACUACGUGCCAGCAGCCGCGGUAAUACGUAGGGUGCAAGCGUUAAUCGGAAUUACUGGGCGUAAAGCGUGCGCAGGCGGUUUGCUAAGACCGAUGUGAAAUCCCCGGGCUCAACCUGGGAACUGCAUUGGUGACUGGCAGGCUAGAGUAUGGCAGAGGGGGGUAGAAUUCCACGUGUAGCAGUGAAAUGCGUAGAGAUGUGGAGGAAUACCGAUGGCGAAGGCAGCCCCCUGGGCCAAUACUGACGCUCAUGCACGAAAGCGUGGGGAGCAAACAGGAUUAGAUACCCUGGUAGUCCACGCCCUAAACGAUGUCAACUAGUUGUUGGGGAUUCAUUUCCUUAGUAACGUAGCUAACGCGUGAAGUUGACCGCCUGGGGAGUACGGUCGCAAGAUUAAAACUUAAA
rnacentral:rRNA from 1 species